GACGAACGCUGGCGGCGUGCCUAACACAUGCAAGUCGAACGGAGUUAACCGCUGAAUUGAAGGUAGCUUGCUACUGAAUUUUCUUGGUUAACUUAGUGGCGGACGGGUGAGUAACGAGUGAGCAACCUGCCUUACAGAGGGGGACAACAUUGGGAAACCGAUGCUAAUACCGCAUAACAUAUAUUUGUGGCAUGACAGAUAUAUCAAAGGAGCAAUCCGCUGUAAGAUGGGCUCGCGUCAGAUUAGAUAGUUGGUGAGGUAACGGCUCACCAAGUCGACGAUCGGUAGCCGGACUGAGAGGUUGAACGGCCACAUUGGGACUGAGACACGGCCCAGACUCCUACGGGAGGCAGCAGUGGGGGAUAUUGCACAAUGGAGGAAACUCUGAUGCAGCAACGCCGCGUGAGGGAAGAAGGUUUUCGGAUUGUAAACCUCUGUUUUUAGUGACGAAACAAAUGACGGUAGCUAAAGAGGAAGCCACGGCUAACUACGUGCCAGCCGCCGCGGUAAUAC
rnacentral:rRNA from 1 species